GGAAGGAUCAUUAAUGAAAUUUAUGAC
rnacentral:rRNA from 1 species